UUAUCGGAGAGUUUGAUCCUGGCUCAGGACGAACGCUGGCGGCGUGCCUAAUAAAUGCAAGUCGAGCGGACAGAUGGGAGC
rnacentral:rRNA from 1 species